GUGCCCGCGGGGGAGGCGCCCUCGGGCCCCGCGGCGCAGCCCAGAGUCCUCUGGAUCGUGGGAGACCCUGAGCCCCGGCCCUGAGGUGGGAAUGCAGCAGGAGUGUUCUGUGUGCACUUGCGUGUCAUCGCAUCAGGUGCUGUAAAAUGUGGAUUUGAGGAUGAUAGAAUAGUGAAGAUAAUUUUUAAUGCUUCAACCAAGAAACUUUGAAAUGAAACCGGCUUGGAGUUGUGUUUCUGAGACAUGGUUGCAGUUCUAGGGAGACCACUGGACUCCGUGUAUUGAAGCUCCUCAGAGACCCGAUGAGGAGGGAUCCAGAGGGUGCCCAGAUCUUACAGGUAGUGCCCACGAAAAGGAGAAGUUCCAGGUUCCCUGCCCCACCCAAGGUAGGGUGGAGCUGAGCAGGGAGGAGCAGAAGCUGGAGGAGGAAACUGGAGAAGGAAGGAAGCAGGACAGAGAGCCAGAAGGAGACCUGGAAGAGGCACAUGGAGCAGAGAGAACUGUGAAAAAACUGUGCUUGCCUUUUGGUCGUGGACUGGUUGACACAGAUGUGGGUGACUCAUGGGGAGGUGACAAUGGUGUUUUUUGUCUUGAUUUUGAUUUUGCUCUUUUCCUUCCAGACUUGUUUGGUUGUUUCUGAUCCUUUUCUGUGGGUCCCCACCAGAAGGUGCCUUAGAUUUGGGGCAGGCUUUCAGGCCUUGCUCGAGGCCAAUGCUGUUUGGGUGAACUUUUACCCACGAGGGGACGGGUAGCUUUAGGUGCUUGAUUUAGAAACUAUAGUCUU